GUUCGCAGAUGUGCAAUAAGGUUUAGGAUUUUUUAUUUUGGUCCAGGGGCCAAAACAAGAGGCCCAAAUGUGUCUAAGUCAUAUUUCAGGCAUGCCUCAUGUCCCUGGAACUACUUCUUCAUUGUUGCAUAUGAGUGUCCAUCAUCUGUAGAUGUGCAAUAAGUAAUUAAAAAUAGUAAUAUUUCAAAACAAUGUGGGGUGCGGGUAUUGAUGUCGUUCCGACAGCCCUACUUCUAGUUGCAAUUAGUUUUAGCACCGUUGGGGCUUUGAUUAUAAUUGCAUAUUCCUGUUAGUUGCAGUUUUAGCUCACCUGGCCAAAGGCCAUGUGAGCUUUUGUCAUCACUUGGCGUCCGUCGUCCGUCCGUCCGUAAACUUUUACAUUCUGAUCUUCUCCUCUGAAACCCCUGGGUCAAUUGAACUGAAACUUGGUAUGAAGCAUCCAUGGGAGGUCCUUUACAAAAUUUGCAUAAAUCAUCCAGGUCCGUUAAAAAUAAAAUGGCUGCCAUGAGGAUUUACAUGUUUUGAUUGGUUGAAAUUUAAAACUUCUUCUCCUCUGUAGCAGUAGAGCCAAAUGAACUGAAACUUGGUAUGAACCAUCCAUGGGAGGUCCUAUACCAAGCAUACCAGGUGAGGUUACAGGCUCACCACUUGAGCCUCUUGUUCUAUAACAAAUUGGUUAUGUGAUUAAAAGGAAUCCACUGUAUACUACUUGACUUUGACCUCAUAAAACAUUGCAAGUGCCAAAUAUGUCUUAUUUCCAUAUUUAUUAAGUUCACAGAAGACUUAACCCGUA
rnacentral:lncRNA from 1 species